rnacentral:rRNA from 1 species
UGCAAGUCGAGCGGAUGAAGGGAGCUUGCUCCUGGAUUCAGCGGCGGACGGGUGAGUAAUGCCUAGGAAUCUGCCUGGUAGUGGGGGAUAACGUCCGGAAACGGGCGCUAAUACCGCAUACGUCCUGAGGGAGAAAGUGGGGGAUCUUCGGACCUCACGCUAUCAGAUGAGCCUAGGUCGGAUUAGCUAGUUGGUGGGGUAAAGGCCUACCAAGGCGACGAUCCGUAACUGGUCUGAGAGGAUGAUCAGUCACACUGGAACUGAGACACGGUCCAGACUCCUACGGGAGGCAGCAGUGGGGAAUAUUGGACAAUGGGCGAAAGCCUGAUCCAGCCAUGCCGCGUGUGUGAAGAAGGUCUUCGGAUUGUAAAGCACUUUAAGUUGGGAGGAAGGGCAGUAAGUUAAUACCUUGCUGUUUUGACGUUACCAACAGAAUAAGCACCGGCUAACUUCGUGCCAGCAGCCGCGGUAAUACGAAGGGUGCAAGCGUUAAUCGGAAUUACUGGGCGUAAAGCGCGCGUAGGUGGUUCAGCAAGUUGGAUGUGAAAUCCCCGGGCUCAACCUGGGAACUGCAUCCAAAACUACUGAGCUAGAGUACGGUAGAGGGUGGUGGAAUUUCCUGUGUAGCGGUGAAAUGCGUAGAUAUAGGAAGGAACACCAGUGGCGAAGGCGACCACCUGGACUGAUACUGACACUGAGGUGCGAAAGCGUGGGGAGCAAACAGGAUUAGAUACCCUGGUAGUCCACGCCGUAAACGAUGUCGACUAGCCGUUGGGAUCCUUGAGAUCUUAGUGGCGCAGCUAACGCGAUAAGUCGACCGCCUGGGGGAGUACGGCCGCAAGGUUAAGACUCAAAUGAAUUGACGGGGGCCCGCACAAGCGGUGGAGCAUGUGGUUUAAUUCAAAGCAACGCGAAGAACCUUACCUGGCCUUGACUGCUGAGAAUUUCCGAAGAUGGAUUGGGGCCUCGGGAACUCGAA